AUGGCAGCGCCUGGAAGGUUCUGGAAGCGGCUGGAGAAGAGAACGAAAAAGCCAAAACCACCCAGGUGGACCUGGAUUCAAAAAAUACCGGGCACCGUGUAUGGGCUGGGGUGCCAUUCUGCUUAUAUCGGCUGUCUCGCACCUAAAGAGUUCCUUCUUUAUGAUGGCGCAAAAUAGCAAAUGAUCAUGAAGUAGGACAAAUGGUCAAGAGCAGGAGGGCCCACUGACACCUGGGCCCACCGGGAGUUUUCCUGGUGGGCUAGUCCGACACUGCUGGUGACCACAAGCACGUUGGAAUUAUGGGGAAAAAACAUGGCAUCUGCAAAAGUAAUUUGCACACAGCAAUACGGUAAGUAAAUGAUUCCAGUUGUUGUAAGGUGCUAAUUUAUGCAUUGACUGAAUGCAGUUAUGUCUUACUAUCCAGCUACAUAUUUCAUCAAGGUAUGGGCUGCUGGCUGAACAGUCCAUACUGUUAUCAGUCAAUUUUGUCCACUCUGUACUCCAGAUUAAUCAGAUGUUAGAACAUUUUUAUAUUGUUACUAACUUGCUUGCUUUCAAGGGGUAAAUAUUUCAACAUACUUUCUCACCAGUAACUCGCCCCUUCAGGUAUGCAGUUUUUUGUUUGAAUAUAAUACCCCCUACUGUUAAAUGUGUAGUAAAUGAUGUACUCUACUGUAAACUACAAGUAUAUUAAAGAAGAAUGAAAGGU